rnacentral:rRNA from 1 species
GACGAACGCUGGCGGCGUGCUUAACACAUGCAAGUCGAACGGAAAGGCCCUGCUUUUGUGGGGUGCUCGAGUGGCGAACGGGUGAGUAACACGUGAGUAACCUGCCCUUGACUUUGGGAUAACUUCAGGAAACUGGGGCUAAUACCGGAUAGGAGCUCCUGCUGCAUGGUGGGGGUUGGAAAGUUUCGGCGGUUGGGGAUGGACUCGCGGCUUAUCAGCUUGUUGGUGGGGUAGUGGCUUACCAAGGCUUUGACGGGUAGCCGGCCUGAGAGGGUGACCGGCCACAUUGGGAAUGAGAUACGGCCGAGACUCCGACGGGAGGCAGCAGUGGGGAAUAUUGCACAAUGGGCGGAAGCCUGAUGCAGCAACGCCGCGUGCGGGAUGACGGCCUUCGGGUUGUAAACCGCUUUCGCCUGUGACGAAGCGUGAGUGACGGUAAUGGGUAAAGAAGAACCGGCUAACUACGUG